rnacentral:lncRNA from 1 species
GUUAGAUGGCGUGCUUUCACUAAAAGACUGAAAAUGAGAUAUUACUAUUUACGGAGAAAGAAGUACCCUAGACACUGAUCUGAGGUCAGACUUGGUGUUUUAGUCCUACAAAGGGGGCCUGACAGGAUUGGAAAAGUUGGAUAAAGACGAAGUAGCCCCAAGACACUGAUCUGAGGUCAGAUUUGUGUUUUUGGCCUGUAAGUAGGCCCUGACAGGAUUGGAUAGGUGCAAUCAAGGUGUAGAAAUGUCCACAGAGCCUUUCAAAGAGUACGGUGGACCUACAGUACAGCUUUAAUACAGGUCCUAAUGGCUGUCCUGGGAUCAGAUUACCCUGACUAAAUACUAACCAAACCAUUAAAGAGUAAGGUGGAUCUACAGUACAGCUUUAAUACAGGUCCUAAUGGCUGUCCUAGGAUCAUUACCUGACUAAAUACUAACCAAACCAUUAAAGAUCUAAAUCAUAUCAGAUAUACAGGGGCCAAUAUGGAAUGUAGUAUGUUGCUUUAUGAUGAGUCACUCACCCACUGUAGGUCUCUGAAACACAGGAGUACUCUGUGCAGCUCUGACCAGCUCGUCUUUGUAGGAAGUCAGCAGUUGGGUCUGGACUCUUUCUCCCAUGAUCCUUUGCUGAUACUCCUCUGGGUUCUAACCGGUGGGACUGGCUGAUGAGGUGGUAAAUGUAGUCAUUGGACUUUUUUCUGUUAUGUAACAUUCUACACGUUGGAGUUUGACCUGAGCAAGGCUCUACAACAGGAUAUUUAGUGAUUUCUCAAUCUUUAGUAUUUUUUAAUAUUAGGAAAUAAGCAAGUCAAGAAUAGUUAAGAACUUACUCUGACACACAUCCAUCUCAGCUCAGCCGGGGAUAAGGAGACUCUCACAACAAACACCCUCUUCAUUGAGUUGAAUUGAGUUCAGGAUAAACAACAGAGGAAAAGUACAUCAACAUGAUGUCUUCAGGUGAGUGCUGUACCGUGAUGAUUAAAACCCAAACUUCCCUUACAUAUGGAAGAGGACAGUUCAGUAGUGAUACUCUACUAUGGUAGUGUAACAGCUUCCCUAUCAUAGAGAAGAGGACAGUUCAGUAGAGAUACUGUACUAUUGUAGUGUAACAGCUUCCCUAUCAUAUGGAAGAGGACAGUUCAGUAGUGAUACUGUACUAUUGUAGUCCAACAGAAUAGGGAACAUAAAACUGACAGGGAUGCCAAAGUAAAAUAUAACCACUUGUUUUGUUUUUAUUCUUUCAAGUAUCAGUAAAUGACAGAUCUGCUGAAUGCUGUUAAAUGCAGCAGAUUCUAAAUGAUUAAUA